GACGAACGCUGGCGGCGUGCUUAACACAUGCAAGUCGAACGGAUCAGGGAAGCUUGCUUUUCUGGUUAGUGGCGAACGGGUGAGUAACACGUGAGUAACCUGCCCUUCACUCUGGGAUAACUCCGGGAAACCGGGGCUAAUACUGGAUACGACUCGAACAGGCAUCUGUAUCGGGUGGAAAGAUUUAUUGGUGGAGGAUGGACUCGCGGCCUAUCAGCUUGUUGGUGAGGUAAUGGCUCACCAAGGCGACGACGGGUAGCCGGCCUGAGAGGGCGAUCGGCCACACUGGGACUGAGGCACGGCCCAGACUCCUACGGGAGGCAGCAGUGGGGAAUAUUGCACAAUGGGCGAAAGCCUGAUGCAGCGACGCCGCGUGAGGGAUGAAGGCCUUCGGGUUGUAAACCUCUUUCAGCAGGGAAGAAGCGGUCGGGUUUUCCUGGUCGUGACGGUACCUGCAGAAUAAGCACCGGCUAACUACGUGCCAGCAGCCGCGGUAAUACGUAGGGUGCAAGCGUUGUCCGGAAUUAUUGGGCGUAAAGAGCUUGUAGGCGGUUUGUCGCGUCUGCUGUGAAAUUUCGGGGCUCAACCCCGAACUUGCAGUGGGUACGGGCAGACUAGAGUGUGGUAGGGGAGACUGGAAUUCCUGGUGUAGCGGUGAAAUGCGCAGAUAUCAGGAGGAACACCGAUGGCGAAGGCAGGUCUCUGGGCCACUACUGACGCUGAGAAGCGAAAGCAUGGGGAGCGAACAGGAUUAGAUACCCUGGUAGUCCAUGCCGUAAACGUUGGGAACUAGGUGUGGGCCUCAUUCCACGAGGUCCGUGCCGCAGCUAACGCAUUAAGUUCCCCGCCUGGGGAGUACGGCCGCAAGGCUAAAACUCAAAGGAAUUGACGGGGGCCCGCACAAGCGGCGGAGCAUGCGGAUUAAUUCGAUGCAACGCGAAGAACCUUACCAAGGCUUGACAUGUGCCGGAAAAGUGCAGAGAUGUGCUCCCCGCAAGGUCGGUACACAGGUGGUGCAUGGUUGUCGUCAGCUCGUGUCGUGAGAUGUUGGGUUAAGUCCCGCAACGAGCGCAACCCUCGUUCUAUGUUGCCAGCACGUGAUGGUGGGGACUCAUAGGAG
rnacentral:rRNA from 1 species